rnacentral:rRNA from 1 species
GAUGAACGCUAGCGAUAGGCUUAACACAUGCAAGUCGAGGGGCAGCACAAGGUAGCUUGCUAUCUGGGUGGCGACCGGCGCACGGGUGCGUAACGCGUAUGCAACUUGCCCUAUACAGGAGGAUAACCCGUCGAAAGACGGACUAAUACUGCGUAUGCUCACAACUUGGCAUCAAGUGGUGAGGAAAGAAAUUCGGUAUAGGAUAGGCAUGCGUCCCAUUAGCUUGUUGGUGAGGUAACGGCUCACCAAGGCAGCGAUGGGUAGGGGAACUGAGAGGUUUAUCCCCCACACUGGUACUGAGACACGGACCAGACUCCUACGGGAGGCAGCAGUGAGGAAUAUUGGUCAAUGGGCGCGAGCCUGAACCAGCCAAGUCGCGUGAAGGAUGACUGUCUUAUGGAUUGUAAACUUCUUUUAUACGGGAAUAACAAGAGUCACGUGUGACUCCCUGCAUGUACCGUAUGAAUAAGCAUCGGCUAACUCCGUG